UCUUUGAUGGCUCAGACGGUAAAGCAUCUGCCUGCAAUGCAGGAGACCCAGGUUCAAUCCCUGGGUUGGGAA
rnacentral:tRNA from 1 species